rnacentral:rRNA from 1 species
UAGUGAAGAUGGCGACCGGCGCACGGGUGAGUAACACGUAUCCAACCUGCCGAUAACUCGGGGAUAGCCUUUCGAAAGAAAGAUUAAUAUCCGAUAGUAUAUUAAAACCGCAUGGUUUUACUAUUAAAGAAUUUCGGUUAUCGAUGGGGAUGCGUUCCAUUAGGCAGUUGGUGAGGUAACGGCUCACCAAACCUUCGAUGGAUAGGGGUUCUGAGAGGAAGGUCCCCCACAUUGGAACUGAGACACGGUCCAA